CUUUUCAGAUUUCUGUGGCUCAGAAAACCAACACAGACAGGCUGCGAACAGGGAGACGGCUCAGGGCGUGCAAAAAUAUAAAUAUCAAUACUGGAUUAUUCCAGCACCACUUUCCUCUGCGACGACAGACGGAGCGCUCCGGUGACGAGGUCACGACCUCACAGAACCCAACCUGUUGGUUCAUUCAGCGCCGACAUUCACCGUUAAAACGUCUCUGCUCUGUGUGACCAGAGAUUAUACAUCACUAACUACCUGUACAGGUCAAGUUAUUCGUCUGCAGUUGCUAGCAGGUAGCAACAGAUCUGCAGCAUUUGUUUCAACCACGGCGCAGAAAUCGCUCACAUUCUUCAGCCGUGACAAGGAAAUCCUUCAGAUCAGCUCCACCCUGAUGGAGCCUGUUUGGACACAAAUGCUACAGAAAACCUGGAGAUGCUGAGACGACAACAUGAUGCUUGAUUCAGAAGAACGCUGAAGAGAAACAGAUCAACCUCACAGCUCACUUACUGCUGUCAUCAGGUUCUCUCCUUCCUGGACCCUCCAGGUCUAGAAGCUGAGCAGCAGGAGCCGCUGACCUUGGCUGACCCCGGCUGACCGGUUAACCGGCUGGCGGGCCCCGGCGGCGUCCAGCAGCACGGCUGACUGGAGGCCUGAACCCGCCACACCGCUGGGCUCCUAAUCCUGUUACGGAGGAAAGAGACAAUUACUCUGCUGCUCCACGGUUCAGCGCUCAGAUCCGCUUCCAGCAGAGCAAAAGAAAAAACCUUUAUCUCCACCAGGGAACAGACAAACAUCACCUCAAACCUUCCAGGCUCCACAAACACCCAAAAAGUCACGCAGACCUCGACUUGUGGACACAAAUCUCCUUGGAGACGGCCGGGUGGAGCCUGGAGACACAAACGCUGCUAAUCACCACUUGUCCUGAGUGAGUUUGGCUUCCUAAGCUGCAUGGUUCUCCGUGAUCCCUGGCUCACCUCGUCUGGGCUCUUCAAAGGUGCGCUCCUCUGUGGGCGUUCGCCACGUUGAGCCAGGCGUGCAAGGCGUCGCCGCCCCACUUGUUCGUGUCUGUCAGGACAGCGGCUGAGUGUGUGUUUGUGUUGAGCAGCAGUGGAGCGUAGUCAGGCGUGGGUUUGCCUCUUUAUUCCAGCAUGUCUGCAGGUUACCUCUGCUGAUGCCUCUCCUCCUGCUUUUAUGUGCCAGACUUAUUUUCUUGUUAUUUCUGGGAAGCUUUGAUCAGUUACAUUCACGCUUUAAUCACUUUUCUCUUCACGGUGUCAGAGCACAUCCUCCAGUCGGGUCAAACCGCUGCAGAGAGAAAAGGAAGACAGCAUGUUCUCACCUUUGUUCUGAAUUUUCCCUCUAAUUUGCCGCUGAAUUAAGUCUGAUGUUGUCGUCUCUAAAGGAGCGCUCCUUAAAAACAUGUUUGUCUGUUUCACCGUCUGUGGGUGGAGAUUCCUCCAGACGCUAUUGUGAGAAAAAUGAGGCCUUCAACGUAUUUGGAUCAGAAUAUGAAGGGAGUUGAUGAAUGGUUCUUAGCUGUUUUCACAAGAGGUCACACAAGAUCCUCCUAGAUUUUUGUCUGUCACAGAAAAUCCUGAUAAACGACAUUGAAACCAGAAUUUCUGGGGUCUCUAAAGUGGAGCAGUUUGGAGCUCGCCACAGGUAGCAGCCAUUGUUCCAGCAAUGGUUUUUGGAAGUAUUGCAUCAGAAAAGGUUGAGGGAAACGACAAAAUUUAAAAUAACUUCCUCGGUUUGGUUUUUUAGAGAGAGUUCAUGUGCUAAAGAGGAGAUGGACAUUUACCAAAUCAGUUCCGAUAUAGUGAAUGCUCCUGUCCACGGUGGGCCUGUGCCUUACCAGAGGAACAAAACUCUCAGUUUUGUUUGUUUCUUUUUUACCAGGUUCUGUCCAGAUUGGUUCAUUUCCUCUUUGUGUCAUUCACUGUACGUCUUUGCUAUCAGGUUCUGCACAAUGUGUCUCUUUUCCAGGAUCCUAAACUUAAGGUGUUUUCCCACCUGAUGGUCCGGUAGACUUGGUUCAAAUUGGGAUCAAAGUUGCAUCAUCUGCUCCAGCUCCAGCUGCUGUGGUUCUUUCUUGCUGCUCUGAGUCAAACCAACCUGUUCCCCUCCUGGCCUGUGAGGGCGCUGCACCGAAGCCACUGGAGACACUGAGCGCAACUUCCUUCUUCACCAAAUGGAAACUAAAAUGGAGGCGUCAGAUUUUAGAGGUUGGCGGAUUUCUCUUUCGUCUUUGGCUAAAAAUCACAAGUCAUUUGUCCUGCUAGUACCAGACUCACAUGUUUGUUUUUAUUGUAUUAACCCAGAAUGCCUUGCACCGUAGUCCAUUUCCUGCCUUGGGAGCGGUCUGCUUGGUGUUCAUAUGUUCAUUCAAACAGCACCAGAGUUCACUUCAACCAAACCCAGAUCGAGGUUUGCAAACAGACUGGAGUUUGAUUAAAAUGAACUAAACAGGUCUGGUGGGAACGAACUCUAAGAGUUAACCAGAGUUUUGCUUUCAAACUGAGACCAAAUGAAUCUGCAGCAUGUUUCUGAUUAAUAGUCUCUCUCCAGUGCCCCCUGGUGGUUGUAGUUUCUCCUGCAGCGUUUGUUCAGCCAGCUGGUCCAGCUUUCACAUGAAACCUGUGGUUUAAUACAGCAGGAAGUGAUGCUUUGUCAGGCUGCGGUGUUGCAGAGCGAGGCUGGGUGGACCGGCCCCCUGCUGGGCUUUGUCCCAGUGAUUGACAGCUGCAGGAGCCCAGCUGGUGUUGAAGGGCCGGCUGUGGGGGACCCGCUCCUGUCUGGACCUUUUGGCGCUGACGGGACGUCAAUCAAAACUCAGACCGAAGCUUCCUUCUGAUUCAAACUUUCUCAACAUUAAAUGAAUGUGGCUGCAGAAGAACGUCUCCAUAGCGGCUCGAUGCUAAUCAAAUUAGCAGCUAGAAGUCAUAUUUCUCAUUCGGAUCGCGCCGGUUCUCCCCGAGCGGCCCAUUAAUCACGCUGAGUGACAGGCCGGCCCACGGUGAAACAUUUUACCUUCUUCCCUCCCUCCUCUCUCUCUGUCUUUGAGAAGUUUUUAUUUUCUCAAGCUCCAGCAGCGCCCUCCUCACCCCGCCGCAGCAGAAGAAAAGAAACGAGAGAAAGACAGAAGCUCAGGGGGAAGGAAGGAAUGCAUUGAGGCGGCGCGCCGUUGACCCCUCCACAGCAUCUUUGGGCCUUUCAGAGGCCGCAUGUGUCAGCAGAGCCGCUGCGACGACGCUGCACAAACCGCAGCGCUGCUUGUUUUUCUUCCUCUCACCUGAACUGAGUGCUGACCCGCUCUGCUGUCUGUUGAGUGAGGUCCAUGACCCCAUCAGAACCGCCGACCCCCCCAGGAGGAUCUCAAGCUGAAGGAGCACUGGUGCAGGUUUUCUCCCUGGGAACCAGCCAGUUUCUGUUUUUGCUGCUUCAUCUUUGGUGUUUUAAGUAUCUAUAAAGACAUGAGAUCAAACUCUUGAGUCUGACUUGAGGAUUUAUCCUCUUAUGGCUUUUGCAGGAAGUUUCAGAGAUCCGACCAUCUGGACCUCAGCCAAGAAGGGAGCUAGAUGCUGCCUGUGCAAGAAAAUGUUGCCACCAAAAGAAAAAGUUCACAAUCUUAAUAUUUCAUUGGAACUCAUUUAACUUUGAUCAUAGCAUUUGCUGUGGCAUUGCUUUGAUAAGAUUUUCUUUGAUGAAGUGUCCGACCUCUGAGCGGCGUCUCCAGAACACCCCAAAGGUUCUUUGUGGGGUUCAGGUCCGGACUCUGAGGCCUCCUGACCCAGUUUCACAAUCUGACUCAGAUGAAUCAUUGCGUUGUCAUCCUGGAAUAUCUCUGUGUCAUCGGCAAAGAAACAAUCCAUUGCAGGAAUCAUCUCAUCAUUCAGCUGACCUCAGGAACUUGUUGAACUUUGACCUGUCCCCACAGACUGAUACAGUAGACAAUGGGAAUGAUGGGUGCAUCACUUCAUCUGCCUCUCUUCUUACCCUGAACGCCCGUCUCUCUGGAAGAGGGUAAAUCUGGACUCAUCGGAUCACAUGACCUCCUUCCAUUCCUCCAGACUCCCAUCUUUAUCCUGCCUUGCUGAAUAAAAAGCCUUUUUGUCCUGUCAGCCUCACUGAUCAGUGGUUUUCUCAUGGCUACAGCUGUUCAGUCCCAAACCCUUCAGUUCCUCUCAUAUUGGAAAUGCUCCUACUUUCACUAUUAAACACAACCAGCACUUCUACUGUUGUUUUUCUUCUAUUUGAUAUCACAGUCAUUCAUUUCUUCCCCAAAGACGACAGUUCCUCUUUAUGCUUCCUGUUUUUAAUAACAUGUUGGUCAGUUCUCAACCAUACUUUAGUCUCGAUGGCAAUAAUCUGACCCUUCUUAAGCAGACUGACAUCUUUUCCACGACCACAGGAUGUGUCUUUAAGAAACAAGGAGCUGCUUGUUGCAUCACUUGGUGUUAAAUAACUUGUUGCAGCUUUAAGACGUUGUAACUCUGCAAUAGGAAGCUAAUUUUCUGGAGAUGGAAACUGUGAACAUGCAUAGAAUAGUUUUUAGAUGGAGAAUAAAUCAAUCUAGACUCCAAUAAUGAGUCCAUUGCUUUGCAUUGUUGAGGUGAAGAAUCAUCUGAUCCCUUAAGGCUUUGCUUGGUUUCGGUUCUUAUUCAGAUUAUCUAAUGACUAAUGCUGGUGUGGACGGACCUAAACCUAAAGCUCGACUCCAGGAGCCAUCGGAUCUGAUGACGACCUCAUCGGAUCUGAUGACGACCUCAUCGGAUCUGAUGACGACCUCAUCGGACCUCAUCAGAUCCGAUGAGGUCUGAUGAGCGGUUAAACCCGGCAGAUGGGUUGGAUCCUGGUGGGAGGGAUGGACUAAGACCUGGACUCCUGAUGCUGAUCGCUGUGGAAGGAAGACAAGUUUCAUCUGACGGCAGCAGAAUCCUUUGAGCAGGAGGUCAGGAGGAGUUUUCUUUCUGGCUUGACCUCUGACCUUUGUCUCCUCAGACAGCAGAGCCCACAUGAGGCUGUGAACAAACAGAAACGGCAGAUCAGCGAUGUUGUUGUCUGGGACCUGAACCGACGAUCUGCUGCUUUCUUUGUCCGGAUCCUUCAGAUGUUUCUCUCCUUUGUUUUCGCCAAACAAAGUUUGGACCUGAAAGUGUCGAUCUUUGGCCCGUUUCCUGCCGCGUUCUGCCACACAGACCCGUUGGUCCUAAUCAGGUUAAGUGUCUGAGAGUCCCAACACCUAAUGCGUCUUUUAACUUCCUCUGACAGACGAUUCAUCAAGCCGCCUGGUAAUCUGGUUAGAGCCGAGCCCGAGGCGAGGCGGAGCCGCCGACGCUCCAGAACGGCGGACCGUAAUGGAGGCUUUUAUCCCGACACAUUCUGGUCCCGGAGCGGCUCCAGCCCAACUACAGGAGCCCCAGAGGGACUCAAUUAUGAAGCUGCUGUUCUGCACCGUUACCUCCAUUAAACCGGGUCCGACUGCGUCUUCAGGCCGAGACGUUUCCCGUAAACCCAGAGCUACGGAGGAGUUUUGGUCUUUUUCCAACAUUUCUUCAGUUCGUUAAAGUUUCUGCUCAUUCCCACCACAGCAGUUCUAUCAGGACUUUGAUUAGGCCAUCUUUUUCUCUGACUGGUUUGGGUCUGUUGAUUUUAUAGUCACUAUUUAAACUUUUAUUUUUGUAAUCUGGACUCAUCAGGUUUUUUGAUUUUAUCAUUUUUAUGAUGAAAACAUUAAAUAACCUUUUUAUCUGUUUUAUGUUUCCUCGUUGAUUCGAGCUUGGUGAUUUAUUUUGCUGCUUGUUGAUCACAGAUAAACACAGUGAUAGUAAUUUCAUUAGUGAAAAACAGUUGUGUGCAACUAAUGGUUACAAUAAAAUAUCAGAAUUUAUUCAGAUUUUUCCGUUUGUACUCCAGUGCCAUUUUAAAUGAUAUCUGUAUAUAUUGUGUAUCGUGUAGCAAACAAAUAGGAUUUUCAUCAGAUCUCCCAGCUGUAACUGCAAGACAUUUUAAAUAUGCAAAAUAAAACACAAAAACCAAAAGCAAUAAAUAAAACGGAUAUAAAAAAUAACUUUCAAGCAAAACCAUAAUUUAAAUGAUUAUAACGUCUCUUUAUGCCAAAUUUCCCUUCAGAUAAUAUAAUCAGAAUAUAAAUUAUUGAGCUCAUUUUAAAUGAUCAGGGGAUUAAGUGAUUCAUUUCUUGUGGUGACAGGAUUAUGUGUUGGUUGGAUUUGUUGGUUUUAUGGAGAAGGUUUAGUUUCUUCUAACCUUCCUGUUGUUGUUGUUCAUCUUUCAGUAAAUUUUAAAUUCUGACCUGAUUGAAAAAGUUUUUUGUAAAAGCAGUUGAUUUGAAUUUUGUGUUUAAUUUAACUUUGCGUCUUAAGAAAUACCUUUAUGUCUUUUUGUUCCCAUAAUAAAGUUGAUGUGGACUUCAGGAUGUUUAAAUAAAGAAAUGACCUUUAACCUUUAA